rnacentral:rRNA from 1 species
GUGCCAGCAGCCGCGGUAACACGUAGGAUCCGAGCGUUAUCCGAAUUUACUGGGCGUAAAGCGCGUGUAGGCGGUUUAGUAAGUUGGAUGUGAAAGCUCCUGGCUCAACUGGGAGAGGCCGUUCAAAACUACUAAACUAGAGGACGGUAGAGGGAGGUGGAAUUCCCGGUGUAGUAGUGAAAUGCGUAGAUAUCGGGAGGAACACCAGUGGCGAAGGCGGCCUCCUGGACCGUUCCUGACGCUCAGACGCGAAAGCUAGGGGAGCGAACGGGAUUAGAUACCCUUGUAGUCC